ACAGGACACCGAGUGCUCCCGGCUUACAAGUGCUGACUGACCAUGGAUAUCGAGAAGAGCCUAUCAUACCCCCACAAUCAUAAAGCAGGGCACUGUAUUGCAGGUAGAACCGUACGUUUUAAUUCCCCACCAAAGACUCUGGUCAGGUUUUCAGAAGACACUUGCCCCAAACUGCGCUCUAUUCCUUUGGACGUGUACGGUAAACCGGAGAUUUACCGCUGGAGGACGGCUUACGACGAGGCCUAUAACAUGGACCUGCAGGGAAGAUGGAAGUGACGGAAGCCUGGUAAAAGCAGAUUAUUUUUCGAAAUGGGCAAUGUGGUCUUCUCUGAAUGCUACACAACUGCUGCAGACUGAGGACACUGAAAUCAGCAGGAGAAUUUUGCAUUGAGAUAACAGCUUGUACUCACCAUAAACGCCAUGAAAUACGAAUAAAAUAGUUUUUAAAAGAAAAAUAAAUUGGUGUCUAAAAUUCUAUGUGUUUGCAGUGGUGUUUACUUUCUAUG